UACGUGGGGGGCGAGCGUUGUUCGGUGUCACUGGGCUUAAAGGGUGCGUAGGUGGUUGCGUAAGUAAGGUGUGAAAUCCCUCGGCUUACCCGGGGAAUUGCAUUUUAUACUGCGUGGCUUGAGGACUAAAGGGGAAAAGGGAACUCCAGGUGUAGCGGUGAAAUGCGCAGAUAUCUGGGGGAAGGCCGGCGGCGAAGGCGCUUUGCUGGUUAGAUCCUGACACUGAGGCACGAAAGCGUGGGGAGCAAACAGG
rnacentral:rRNA from 1 species